GGAAGGAUCAUUAUUGAAU
rnacentral:rRNA from 1 species